GAGAGAAUGAGAUCCGGCGAGACUGAGACAUCGGAGAGGAGGGGCACAGAGAGAGAGAUACGGCGGUGAGGAGAGGGGGAGACUCCGGCAAGACUGAGGCGUGGGCUGCGAAAGGAGAGGCACAGAGAGAGAGAUACGGCGGUGAGGAGAGGGGGAGACUCCGGCAAGACUGAGGCGUGGGCUGCGAAAGGAGAGGCACAGAGAGAGAGAUACGGCGGUGAGGAGAGGGGGAGACUCCGGCAAGACUUUGGCGUGGGCUGCAAAAGGAGAGGCACAAAGAGAGAGAUACGGCGGAGAGGAGAGGCGGGAGAGUCCGGCGAGACUGAGGCGUGGGCUGCGAAAGGAGAGGCACAGAGAGAGAGAUACAGCGGAGAGGAGAGGCGGGAGAGUCCGGUGAGACUUGACAGGAGACGUCAGGCUGCGGGGAGAGAGAGCCCGGGGAGGAGACGCAGAGAGGAGGGAUUUAGAUUCUUUUUUUUUCUUUGACGGCAGAGAGUAAUGGAGCAGAAGGGUUAACUGUCCUUAUAUAUUAACCUAAUAUUCGACGCCAAUCCCUUGCAAAUCCCUUGCAAAUUUGCGAGCGAAUUGCAACGGCUGUGUUUUAGGGAUUCGUUUAGGGUUUUGGCUAGUGGU
rnacentral:lncRNA from 1 species